CCUACGGGGGGCUGCAGUGGGGAAUAUUGGACAAUGGGGGGAACCCUGAUCCGGCCAUGCCGCGUGUGUGAAGAAGGCCCUCGGGUUGUAAAGCACUUUCAGUGAGGAAGAACGCCUGGUGGUUAAUACCCAUCAGGAAAGACAUCACUCACAGAAGAAGCACCGGCUAACUCCGUGCCAGCAGCCGCGGUAAUACGGAGGGUGCGAGCGUUAAUCGGAAUUACUGGGCGUAAAGCGCGCGUAGGUGGCUUGAUAAGCCGGUUGUGAAAGCCCCGGGCUCAACCUGGGAACGGCAUCCGGAACUGUCAAGCUAGAGUGCAGGAGAGGAAGGUAGAAUUCCCGGUGUAGCGGUGAAAUGCGUAGAGAUCGGGAGGAAUACCAGUGGCGAAGGCGGCCUUCUGGACUGACACUGACACUGAGGUGCGAAAGCGUGGGUAGCAAACAGGAUUAGAUACCCUAGUAGUC
rnacentral:rRNA from 1 species